AUUUUUUAGGAGUGAUUAAAAAUGAGUCCUGCUCAGUGUUAUAUAAAUAGCCGCAGUAUUUUGACUGUGCAAAGGUAGCAUAAUAAUUAGUCUUAUAAUUUAAGACUGGAAUGAAGGGAUAGACUAAAAAGUUUCUUUCUUAAGUUUUUCUUUUGAAAUUUACUUUUUAGUAAAAAGGCUAAAAUAUUUCUUUUAGACAAGAAGACCCUAUAAAGCUUUACAUAGAAUAAUUUAAUAAAUUAAAAAUAUGUUUUACUGGGGCGGUAGUAAGAAAAACACUUAUAAGAUGUGAAAAUGACACUAUUUAGAUACCCAAAAUUUUUGAAAGUUAAAUAAGUUACUUUAGGGAUAACAGCGUAAUGUAUUUCGAAAGCUCAAAUUGACAAAUAUGUUUGCGACCUCGAUGUUGGAUUAGGUUUCCUUCACUCCGCAAGAGGAGUAUAAAGGGGGUCUGUUCGACCCGUAAAAAUCUCCA
rnacentral:rRNA from 1 species